rnacentral:rRNA from 1 species
UACGUAGGUCCCGAGCGUUGUCCGGAUUUAUUGGGCGUAAAGCGAGCGCAGGUGGUUUAAUAAGUCUGAUGUAAAAGGCAGUGGCUCAACCAUUGUGUGCAUUGGAAACUGUUAGACUUGAGUGCAGUAGAGGAGGGUGGAAUUCCAUGUGUAGCGGUGAAAUGCGUAGAUAUAUGGAGGAACACCGGUGGCGAAAGCGGCUCUCUGGACUGUAACUGACACUGAGGCUCGAAAGCGUGGGUAGCAAACAGG